AACCGGUAUCCAUGGAGCAGACGGAACCUGUUUCUAUGGAGGAACCCAAAGGUAUCAGUAAAUUUGUGCGAUAUGUUGUGUGUCAGCGAUCCAUUUCAGGGAGAGGUGUCUUUCUGAGAAAUGCUGGAAGCAGCAUCAUGAGUCAUCUUAGGUGCUACAAAAGGUGUGUGUCAGCUCCUUCUUAAAAAAAAAAAAAAAAAAAAAAAAAAAAAAGAAAAAACACUGGUUCCAUGACCUUUUGUUUCUGUUCAGCAGCACCAGCCUCUGUGGGAACACACACUGGAGCAGAACCCAAAGAGAAAGAAGACGCUCCAGAAGAAGAGACAAAAGAACCUGUUGAAAAGAAGGAGAUAAAAGGUAUUUCUCAACGCUGCUGCUUUGACAUGGCACAUGUGAACACCAGGGGGUGUUUAUUUUUAUUUUUAUAUUCUGAGAAACUGGAUUAAAAUCCUGGAAGGAUUUCCACGAGAAGAAAUUGCUUGAAAUAAAUUCAGAUUGGUUUAAUGUUUAAACUUUUUCCAUUUUAGCUCCAGAAGCCAAUCUAACAGCACCUGAGCAAAUAUCGAAAGUAGAAGGUAAAUAUUUAUUCAAAUGAGAGCACUAUGCUUCCGGCUGGGAAUAGUUUAGGUUAAUAGUUGAGUCUCUUCCUGUGCUGCAAAUGGAGGUGUCUGAGGAUAAGAAAACAUAAAAACAUAAAAUACUAAAUAGAGGUUUAUAGUACAAUAACACCUGCCUUCUGACUAUUCUACAGUAUUAUGACAAAUAUAAUAAAUGCUGUGUGGCUUGUGACAAAACCGCAGUAGAAAUAGAUUAGUUAUGAUUAUUUAUAAAUUGUGGCUUUCUUAUUCUUAUAAAUCAUGGCAUGCCUCUCAUUUCUUGUUAAAGCUGCCCCCUGCAAACCGAUGCCCGUGUACUGUCCUGCCCCGCCAGGCUGGUAUGUGCAUCAUAUUGUGACGGACAAUCCAUUCCCGCCGACACCGAUGACAGUUUCCGAAGUUCCUAUAUUAACGAGCCACCCGAUCCACCCAGCCCUGCACUUCUUCCCUCCAAAACAAGAACCUGAGGCAAAUCUACCUACUCCUACUCCAAAGAAAGAGCCCGAGGCGUCUGAAGAGGUGGCUCCACCAGCGCUGGGAAAGAAAGAGCCCAGACCUUGCAAAGAGAAACCCGCACAAGCCCCUGUAAAGAAAGGAGCUAAGAUUCACAAAGAGAAGGCUAAAUAUCCCCCUGUAAAGAAAGGUAUCACUCGGUUUUACAUUCUUUUUUUUUUUUUAAUUUUGUCUGUCUGUUUCUGUCUGGCUUUCUUUAUUUUUUUUUUAUUUAUACUAACUAUUUCCUGCUUGGGGUGCUUUACAAUGGACUGGCAUCCCGUCCUGGGUGUGUCUCCUCCUCCUCCAGCCUUGUGCCCUGUGUUGUCGGGUUAG
rnacentral:lncRNA from 1 species